ACGCUGGCGGCAUGCUUUACACAUGCAAGUCGGACGGCAGCACAGAGAAGCUUGCUUCUUGGGUGGCGAGUGGCGAACGGGUGAGUAAUAUAUCGGAACGUACCGAGUAAUGGGGGAUAACUAAUCGAAAGAUUAGCUAAUACCGCAUAUUCUCUGAGGAGGAAAGCAGGGGACCUUCGGGCCUUGCGUUAUUCGAGCGGCCGAUAUCUGAUUAGCUAGUUGGUGGGGUAAAGGCCUACCAAGGCGACGAUCAGCAGCGGGUCUGAGAGGAUGAUCCGCCACACUGGGACUGAGACACGGCCCAGACUCCUACGGGAGGCAGCAGUGGGGAAUUUUGGACAAUGGGCGCAAGCCUGAUCCAGCCAUGCCGCGUGUCUGAAGAAGGCCUUCGGGUUGUAAAGGACUUUUGUCAGGGAAGAAAAGGCUGUUGCUAAUACCGACAGCUGAUGACGGUACCUGAAGAAUAAGCACCGGCUAACUACGUGCCAGCAGCCGCGGUAAUACGUAGGGUGCGAGCGUUAAUCGGAAUUACUGGGCGUAAAGCGAGCGCAGACGGUUACUUAAGCAGGAUGUGAAAUCUCCGGGCUCAACCUGGGAACUGCGUUCUGAACUGGGUGACUAGAGUGUGUCAGAGGGAGGUAGAAUUCCACGUGUAGCAGUGAAAUGCGUAGAGAUGUGGAGGAAUACCGAUGGCGAAGGCAGCCUCCUGGGAUAACACUGACGUUCAUGCUCGAAAGCGUGGGUAGCAAACAGGAUUAGAUACCCUGGUAGUCCACGCCCUAAACGAUGUCAAUUAGCUGUUGGGCAACUUGAUUGCUUAGUAGCGUAGCUAACGCGUGAAAUUGACCGCCUGGGGAGUACGGUCGCAAGAUUAAAACUCAAAGGAAUUGACGGGGACCCGCACAAGCGGUGGAUGAUGU
rnacentral:rRNA from 1 species